UACGAAGGGGGCUAGCGUUGUUCGGAAUCACUGGGCGUAAAGGGCGCGUAGGCGGCUUGAUAAGUCGGGGGUGAAAGCCUGUGGCUCAACCACAGAAUUGCCUUCGAUACUGUCGAGCUUGAGACCGGAAGAGGUAAGUGGAACUGCGAGUGUAGAGGUGAAAUUCGUAGAUAUCGGAAGGAACGCCGGUGGCGAAAGCGGCGUGCUGGACCCCUUCUGACGCUGAGGAGCGAAAGCAUGGGGAGCGAACAGG
rnacentral:rRNA from 1 species